UACGUAGGUGGCGAGCGUUGUCCGGAUUUACUGGGCGUAAAGAGCGCGCAGGCGGUCGUUCAAGUCGCGUGUGAAAGCCCCCGGCUCAACUGGGGAGGGUCACGCGAUACUGAUCGACUCGAAGGCAGGAGAGGGUAGUGGAAUUCCUGGUGUAGCGGUGGAAUGCGCAGAUAUCAGGAGGAACACCAAUAGCGAAGGCAGCUCGCUGGGACGGUACUGACGCUAAGGCGCGAAAGCGUGGGGAGCAAACAGG
rnacentral:rRNA from 1 species